AGUGAACGCUGGCGGUAGGCCUAACACAUGCAAGUCGAACGGCAGCACAGGAGAGCUUGCUCUCUGGGUGGCGAGUGGCGGACGGGUGAGGAAUACAUCGGAAUCUACUUUUUCGUGGGGGAUAACGUAGGGAAACUUACGCUAAUACCGCAUACGACCUACGGGUGAAAGCAGGGGACCUUCGGGCCUUGCGCGAUGGAAUGAGCCGAUGUCGGAUUAGCUAGUUGGCGGGGUAAAGGCCAACCAAGGCGACGAUCCGUAGCUGGUCUGAGAGGAUGAUCAGCCACACUGGAACUGAGACACGGUCCAGACUCCUACGGGAGGCAGCAGUGGGGAAUAUUGGACAAUGGGCGCAAGCCUGAUCCAGCCAUACCGCGUGGGUGAAGAAGGCCUUCGGGUUGUAAAGCCCUUUUGUUGGGAAAGAAAUCCAGCUGGCUAAUACCCGGUUGGGAUGACGGUACCCAAAGAAUAAGCACCGGCUAACUUCGUGCCAGCCGCCGCCGUAA
rnacentral:rRNA from 1 species